UGCAAUUUUGUACUAAGGUAGCAUAAUAAUUUGCCUUUUAAUUGAAGGAUAGCAUGAAUGAAAUCACAAGAAUAAAACUGUCUCUAUUCUAAAAAUAUAAAUUAAUUUAAAAGUGAAAAAGCUUUUAUUUAAUAAAUAGACAAGAAGACCCUGUUGAGCUUUUUCUAAUAAAUAAUAUUUAGAUUUUGUUGGGGCAACAAUUAUUAUAAAUACCAAUUUUUACUGUUAUGAUUAAAUUUCUUUCAAAUUUAUCUUAUUCCAUAAAAAUAUAAUAAGUUACCACAGGGAUAACAGGCUAAUUUUUUUUUAGAGCUCAAAUUAACAAAAAAGAUUGGUACCUCGAUGUUGGCUUAAAAUUUCUUUUUAAUGUAGAAAUUAAAAUAGUUGGUUU
rnacentral:rRNA from 1 species